rnacentral:rRNA from 1 species
UACGAAGGGGGCUAGCGUUGUUCGGAACUACUGGGCGUAAAGGGCGCGUAGGCGGUCUGUCGCGUCGGCUGUGAAAACCCGGAGCUCAACUCCGGGCCUGCAGUCGAUACGGGCAGACUGGGUGUCGGCAGGGGGAGACUGGAAUUCCUGGUGUAGCGGUGAAAUGCGCAGAUAUCAGGAGGAACACCGGUGGCGAAGGCGGGGUCUCUGGGCAAUAACUGACGCUGGAGGAGCGAAAGCGUGGGGAGCGAACAGG